rnacentral:rRNA from 1 species
UCAUGGGAGUUGUCAAUGCUUGAAGUCCGUGGGCUGACCCCGAGCAAUCGGGGAGGCAGCGGCCGAGGGCAGGGGCAGCGACUGGGACG